GAUGAACGCUGGCGGCGUGCCUAAUACAUGCAAGUCGAGCGAACGGACGAGAAGCUUGCUUUUCUGAUGUUAGCGGCGGACGGGUGAGUAACACGUGGAUCACCUACCUAUAAGACUGGGAUAACUUCGGGAAACCGGAGAUAAUACCAGAGAAUAUUUUGAACCGCAUGGUUCAAAAGUGAAAGACGGUUUUGCUGUCACUUAUAGAUGGAUCCGCGCUGCAUUAGCUAGUUGGUAAGGUAACGGCCUACCAAGGCAACGAUGCGUAGCCGACCUGAGAGGGUGAUCGGCCACACUGGAACUGAGACACGGUCCAGACUCCUACGGGAGGCAGCAGUAGGGAAUCUUGCGCAAUGGGCGAAAGCCUGACGGAGCAACGCCGCGUGAGUGAUGAAGGUCUUCGGAUCGUAAAACUCUGUUAUUAGGGAAGAACAUAUGUGUAAGUAACUGUGCACAUCUUGACGGUACCUAAUCAGAAAGCCACGGCUAACUACGUG
rnacentral:rRNA from 1 species